GCAGCCAGUCAACAACAAAAAUGAAGUUCUAAGUUUACUAGAAAGCAUCCUAUAAGUGUACUGGAUUUAUGAUGAAAUUUCAAGUGAAGAAUUCGAAUGCCACGCUUGUCGCAGUGCUACCUGGAUCCAAGGUUGAGGUCUACCAUAAAUUCUGAAUGUCCUACUUAAGUAAAGAGUUGGUACUCCCUCCUGACCACAACUUUGGAUGGAGUUUCAACCACAAUCUUUGCCUGUCGCCAUUUGCUCUGGAGUGCAGUGUGUUCCUUGCAGUCUCCCUAAUCACAGCUUUUAUCUAGUGCUUGCUCACACUCUCAUCUGGUAUACUGGGGACUGGAGACUUGCCAUCAUUGUUCUCCAUUUUCCUGACAGAAGUCCUUGUAUUUAAGUUAUGACUCAUCAUCCUUCUUAAGAACAGUUCCUCUGGAUUUUAGCCAUUAGAUUUUCCUGUUCCUGAAAGGAGGCAUGUUCUGCUAAACUGUGCAAAUGUUCAAUAACAGCACAGACUUUGAAGUCCAUGAUGUUUCUGCUACAGCACAUGUCCUUUGUACCUUGGCAUUGCUAAUCAGAUCACAGAGGGAGAAACAACUGUGCUGGAAGUGCUCAUAUGAAGGGAACAACACUGACUCAGGGCAAUUCCUUAAUUUUGAAAUGUGGCACUUUCCACAAUUACCAUAGCCCUGUCUGAAAUCCUGACAUGAGAGAACUGCAGCCAGCCUCUCCCCAAAGAGUAAAAUGAUUUCGGACUCUAUCACAUCGCCUCGAUCAACAUUUUUAGCUGUGGUAACUGUUACAUUUCAUUUAAAAGUGUGGCGAUAAAAGACUUCAAGUUUUAAGAAACAAAAUAUAUCCAUCACAAAAAGAAGAGUCUGUUGUUCAGCGUGAACAGAGGUAACCAACCAUUGACUUCAUCCCUAUUAGCUCCUAUCAUGUUUUAUGCUGUUAUUUCAUGCACUGUGUAAUUAUUAUAAGCAAUCCUCAA